GAUGAGCGCUGGCGGCGUGCCUAAUACAUGCAAGUCGAGCGAACAGACGAGGAGCUUGCUCCUCUGACGUUAGCGGCGGACGGGUGAGUAACACGUGGAUAACCUACCUAUAAGACUGGGAUAACUUCGGGAAACCGGAGCUAAUACCGGAUAAUAUAUUGAACCGCAUGGUUCAAUAGUGAAAGACGGUUUUGCUGUCACUUAUAGAUGGAUCCGCGCCGCAUUAGCUAGUUGGUAAGGUAACGGCUUACCAAGGCAACGAUGCGUAGCCGACCUGAGAGGGGGAUCGGCCACACUGGAACUGAGACACGGUCCAGACUCCUACGGGAGGCAGCAGUAGGGAAUCUUCCGCAAUGGGCGAAAGCCUGACGGAGCAACGCCGCGUGAGUGAUGAAGGUCUUCGGAUCGUAAAACUCUGUUAUUAGGGAAGAACAAAUGUGUAAGUAACUAUGCACGUCUUGACGGUACCUAAUCAGAAAGCCACGGCUAACUACGU
rnacentral:rRNA from 1 species